GGGCGAGUGGCGGAAUUUGGCAUACGCGGUAGACUUAAAAUCUGCUGCCCUCUUUAGGGCUUGAGGGUUCGAGUCCCUCCUCGCCCACCA
rnacentral:tRNA from 2 species